rnacentral:tRNA from 1 species
GGGGAUAUGGCUCAGUGAUAGAGCACUUGCCUGGCAUGCAUGAGGCCCUGGUUCUAUACUCA